rnacentral:rRNA from 1 species
GCAUAUCAAUAAGCGGAGGAAAAAGAAACCAACAGGGAUUGCCUCAGUAACGGCGAGUGAAGCGGCAAGAGCUCAAAUUUGAAAUCUGGCCCCUCCGGGGUCCGAGUUGUAAUUUGUAGAGGAUGCUUCGGGUGCGGCCCCCGUCUAAGUGCUCUGGAACGGGCCAUCGGAGAGGGUGAGAAUCCCGUCUGGGACGGGGUGUCCGCGUCCAUGUGAAGCUCCUUCGACGAGUCGAGUUGUUUGGGAAUGCAGCUCUAAAUGGGUGGUAAAUUUCAUCUAAAGCUAAAUACUGGCCGGAGACCGAUAGCGCACAAGUAGAGUGAUCGAAAGAUGAAAAGCACUUUGAAAAGAGAGUUAAACAGCACGUGAAAUUGUUGAAAGGGAAGCGCUUGCGACCAGACUCGCUUCCGGGGUUCAGCCGGCUUUCGGGCCGGUGUACUUCCCCGGGGGCGGGCCAGCGUCGGUUUGGGCGGCCGGUCAAAGGCCCCUGGAAUGUAACGCCCCUCGGGGCGCCUUAUAGCCAGGGGUGUCAUGCGGCCAGCCUGGACCGAGGAACGCGCUUCGGCACGGACGCUGGCAUAAUGGUCGUAAACGACCCGUCUUGAAACACGGACCAAGGAGUCUAACAUCUACGCGAGUGUUCGGGUGUCAAACCCGUGCGCGCAGUGAAAGCGAACGGAGGUGGGAGCCCCCUCGAGGGGCGCACCAUCGACCGAUCCUGAUGUCUUCGGAUGGAUUUGAGUAAGAGCGUAGCUGUGGGGACCCGAAAGAUGGUGAACUAUGCCUGAAUAGGGCGAAGCCAGAGGAAACUCUGGUGGAGGCUCGCAGCGGUUCUGACGUGCAAAUCGAUCGUCAAAUUUGGGUAUAGGGGCGAAAGACUAAUCGAACCAUCUGGUAGCUGGUUCCUGCCGAAGUUUCC